UACGAAGGGGGCUAGCGUUGUUCGGAAUCACUGGGCGUAAAGCGCACGUAGGCGGAUCUUUAAGUCAGGGGUGAAAUCCCGAGGCUCAACCUCGGAACUGCCUUUGAUACUGGGGAUCUCGAGUCCGGGAGAGGUGAGUGGAACUGCGAGUGUAGAGGUGAAAUUCGUAGAUAUUCGCAAGAACACCAGGGGGGAAGGCGGCUCACUGGCACGGAACUGACGCUGAGGUGCGAAAGCGUGGGGAGCAAACAGG
rnacentral:rRNA from 1 species